AAAUGCGAUAACUAGUGUGAAUUGCAUACCUUCGUGAAUCAUCGAGUCUUUGAACGCAACUUGCACUCUUUGGUCCUCCAAAGAGUAUACCUGUUUGAGUAUUUCUAUAUUUCUUUUUGGUGCAUCGUCAGAUAUCGCCAAAAGUAGUGAGGCACUAGCGACAGCUACGCCUUUAAAGACGUGCGUUUUUCGCAGCAGAAUCCGAAAGUGUGUUGGUAAGCCUUGGCUUAACGCGCACUGAAUGGCCGACGCUGCGCAAAAAGGACGCAUCUAGAUACGCCUUGCCGUGGCAAGCGCCGAAUACGAAAUCUCAAAUCAGGCAAGACUACCCGCUGAACUUAA
rnacentral:misc_RNA from 1 species